CACAUGCAAGUCGAACGAUAUAGUGGCAGACGGGUGAGUAACGCGUGGAAACGUGCCUUUCACUACGGAAUAGCUUUUGGAAACGAAAGGUAAUACCGUAUACGCCCUCCGGGGGAAAGAUUUAUCGGUGAAAGAUCGGUCCGCGUUAGAUUAGCUAGUUGGUGAGGUAAGAGCUCACCAAGGCGACGAUCUAUAGCUGGUCUGAGAGGAUGAUCAGCCACACUGGGACUGAGACACGGCCCAGACUCCUACGGGAGGCAGCAGUGGGGAAUAUUGCACAAUGGGCGCAAGCCUGAUGCAGCCAUGCCGCGUGAAUGAUGAAGGCCUUAGGGUUGUAAAAUUCUUUCGCCAAGGAUGAUAAUGACAGUACUUGGUAAAGAAGCCCCGGCUAACUUCGUGCCAGCAGCCGCGGUAAUACGAAGGGGGCUAGCGUUGUUCGGAAUUACUGGGCGUAAAGCGCACGUAGGCGGAUUUUUAAGUCAGAUGUGAAAUCCCAAGGCUCAACCUUGGAACUGCAUUUGAAACUGGGAAUCUAGAGAUCAGGAGAGGUUAGUGGAAUACCGAGUGUAGAGGUGAAAUUCGUAGAUAUUCGGUGGAACACCAGUGGCGAAGGCGACUAACUGGACUGAUACUGACGCUGAGGUGCGAAAGUGUGGGGAGCAAACAGGAUUAGAUACCCUGGUAGUCCACACCGUAAACGAUGAGAGCUAGUUGUCUGCAGGCAUGCCUGUAGGUGACGCACCUAACGCAUUAAGCUCUCCGCCUGGGGAGU
rnacentral:rRNA from 1 species